rnacentral:rRNA from 1 species
UACGUAGGGUGCGAGCGUUGUCCGGAAUUAUUGGGCGUGAAGAGCUUGUAGGCGGUUUGUCGCGUCUGCUGUGAAAAUCCGGGACUCAACCCCGGACCUGCAGUGGGUACGGGCAGACUAGAGUGUGGUAGGGGAGACUGGAAUUCCUGGUGUAGCGGUGAAAUGCGCAGAUAUCAGGAGGAACACCGAUGGCGAAGGCAGGUCUCUGGGCCACUACUGACGCUGAGAAGCGAAAGCAUGGGGAGCGAACAGG